rnacentral:rRNA from 1 species
CGAAUCCUACCAGGGAGGGGAGGGAAGACGGAUGGAGGAGUCAAGGCUGUCGCCGGCAACGUGCACGCCCCUUUCUCUUUCGUGGAACCUCCCCUUUCUAGUUUCCUUAUCCACCUGUGCACCCUUUGUAGGCCCUCGAAAGAGGAUCUACGUUUUCUCUAUAUACGCUUUUUGCUACGCAUGUCCAGAAUGUAUACAAACUUUACAACUUUCAGCAACGGAUCUCUUGGCUCUCGCAUCGAUGAAGAACGCAGCGAAUUGCGAUAAGUAAUGUGAAUUGCAGAUUUUCAGUGAAUCAUCGAAUCUUUGAACGCACCUUGCGCUCCUUGGUAUUCCGAGGAGCAUGCCUGUUUGAGUGUCGUCGAAUUCUCAACCAUGUCUUGAAUUAGGCAUGGCUUGGACUUGGGGGUUGCUGGCACACGUUGUCAGCUCUCCUGAAAUGCAUUAGCGAUGUUCAGCAAGCCUGAACGUGCACGGCCUUUUCGACGUGAUAAUGAUCGUCGUGGGCUGGAGCGUAGGGUGAGCAGUGAAUCGCUUCUAAUCUAUACCUCAGU